CAGCAGCCGCGGGAAUACAAAGGGGGCUAGCGUUGUUCGGAAUUACUGGGCGUAAAGCGCACGUAGGCGGAUCGAUCAGUCAGGGGUGAAAUCCCAGGGCUCAACCCUGGAACUGCCUUUGAUACUGUCGAUCUGGAGUAUGGAAGAGGUGAGUGGAAUUCCGAGUGUAGAGGUGAAAUUCGUAGAUAUUCGGAGGAACACCAGUGGCGAAGGCGGCUCACUGGUCCAUUACUGACGCUGAGGUGCGAAAGCGUGGGGAGCAAACAGGAUUAGAUACCCCUGUAGUCCCUGUCUCUUAUAC
rnacentral:rRNA from 1 species